GGAGAGGUGCCUGAGCGGCUUAAAGGGGCACCCUGCUAAGGUGUUAGACCUUAACGGGUCUCGAGGGUUCAAAUCCCUCCCUCUCCGCCA
rnacentral:tRNA from 2 species